rnacentral:rRNA from 1 species
UACGUAGGGUCCGAGCGUUGUCCGGAAUUACUGGGCGUAAAGAGCUCGUAGGUGGUUUGUCGCGUUGUUCGUGAAAACUCACAGCUUAACUGUGGGCGUGCGGGCGAUACGGGCAGACUAGAGUACUGCAGGGGAGACUGGAAUUCCUGGUGUAGCGGUGGAAUGCGCAGAUAUCAGGAGGAACACCGGUGGCGAAGGCGGGUCUCUGGGCCGUUACUGACGCUGAGGAGCGAAAGCGUGGGGGAGCGAACAGG